AUACGGAGGGUGCAAGCGUUAAUCGGAAUUACUGGGCGUAAAGCGUACGUAGGCGGUUAGUUAAGUUAGAUGUGAAAGCCCCGGGCUUAACCUGGGAACUGCAUUUAAAACUGGCUAACUAGAGUUAAGUAGAGUGGAGUGGAAUUUCAGGUGUAGCGGUGAAAUGCGUAGAGAUCUGAAGGAACACCAGUGGCGAAGGCGACUCCCUGGACUUGAACUGACGCUGAGGUACGAAAGCGUGGGUAGCAAACGGGAUUAGAAACCCCUGUAGUCC
rnacentral:rRNA from 1 species